rnacentral:rRNA from 1 species
AUGAACGCUGGCGGCGUGCCUAAUACAUGCAAGUCGAGCGGACAGACGAGGAGCUUGCUCCUUUGACGUUAGCGGCGGACGGGUGAGUAACACGUGGAUAACCUACCUAUAAGACUGGGAUAACUUCGGGAAACCGGAGCUAAUACCGGAUAACAUGUUGAACCGCAUGGUUCAACAGUGAAAGACGGUCUUGCUGUCACUUAUAGAUGGAUCCGCGCCGCAUUAGCUAGUUGGUAAGGUAACGGCUUACCAAGGCAACGAUGCGUAGCCGACCUGAGAGGGUGAUCGGCCACACUGGAACUGAGACACGGUCCAGACUCCUACGGGAGGCAGCAGUAGGGAAUCUUCCGCAAUGGGCGAAAGCCUGACGGAGCAACGCCGCGUGAGUGAAGAAGGUCUUCGGAUCGUAAAACUCUGUUAUUAGGGAAGAACAAAUGUGUAAGUAACUAUGCACGUCUUGACGGUACCUAAUCAGAAAGCCACGGCUAACUACGUG